UACGGAGGGUGCAAGCGUUAUCCGGAUUCACUGGGUUUAAAGGGUGCGUAGGUGGGCCUGUAAGUCAGUGGUGAAAUCUCUAGGCUUAACCUGGAAACUGCCAUUGAUACUAUAGUUCUUGAAUCUCGCGUAGGUAAGCGGAAUAUGUCAUGUAGCGGUGAAAUGCUUAGAUAUGACAUAGAACACCUAUUGCGAAGGCAGCUUACUUCACGAGUAUUGACACUGAUGCACGAAAGCGUGGGGAGCAAACAGG
rnacentral:rRNA from 1 species